UUUAUUGAGGAUUUGAUCCUGGUCCAGGAUGAACGCUGGCGGCGUGGAUAAGGCAUGCAAGUCGAACGGUCAUACCAAUUUCUUUUGAUCUGAAGUUGUAGCAAUAUAGCCGAUGUGAUUUUGAGCCGGUAUGAUAGUGGCAAACGAGUUAGUAACACCUUGGUUACCUACCCCAAAGACGGGCAUAAUUCGGAGAAAUCCAGACUAAUACCCGAUAGUCCCGCAAGGGUAAAGGCGAAUCCUCUAUUCUGCAUAUGUUGUCGUUUUGACGGAGCGAAUUUUGUUUAGAUUCGCGACGCGAGGAACGAAGUGUAAACUCUACUCGAGUGACGAGCAACAAAGAAUCUAAUCAAAAUUUUCCCGCUUGGGAGAAGCUCAAAAUUGAUUACUUUCUUUGUCUCUUCUCCUCGGAGUGCAGAGCACGCCUUCGUUGUCGUUUCGUGAAAGUAAUCAAUUUUGAGCUUUCAAACUCGACAAGAUAUGUAGAAUAGAGGAUUGGCGCUUUGGGAUGGGCCUAGGCCCGAUCAGCUUGUUGGUGUGGUAAUGGCGCACCAAGGCUACGACCGGUAGGGGAGCUGAGAGGCUGACCCCCAACGACGGCACUGAGACACGGGCCGUACACCUACGGGUGGCAGCAGUCGAGAAUAUUCCACAAUGGGGGAAACCCUGAUGGAGCGACGCCGCGUACAGGAUGAAGGUCUUCGGAUUGUAAACUGUUUUUCCUGAUGAAAAAGUUAUUGAUAUUAGUCAGGGAAUAAGGAGCUGCUAACCUCGUGCCAGCAGCAGCGGUAAUACGAGGGCUCCGAGCGUUGUCCGGAUUUAUUGGGCGUAAAGCGUACGUAGGAGGCAUUGCGCGUCUUUCUGUAAAAUCCUAAUGCUCAACAUUAGGGCUGCAGGGGAUACGGCAAUACUAGAGGGUGUCAGAGGCUAAUGGAACUCAUGGUGUAGGGGUGAAAUCCGUUGAUAUCAUGGGGAACACCGAAGGCGAAGGCAAUUAGCUGGGGCAUUCCUGACUCUGAGUGUACGAAAGCGUGGGGAGCAAAGAGGAUUAGAUACCCUCGUAGUCCACGCCGUAAACGAUGUUCACUAGCUGUUUCGAGUAUCGACCCUCGGAGUGGCGAAGCUAACGCGUUAAGUGAACCGCCUGGGAAGUACGAGCGCAAGCUUAAAACUCAAAGGAAUAGACGGGGACUCGCACAAGCGGUGGAGCAUGAGGUUUAAUUCGACUCUAAGCGAGGAACCUUACCAAGACUUGACAUCCAGACGAACGGUUUCUGAAAGGAAACUUUUCUCUCAAGGACGGCUGGACAGGUGCUGCAUGGUUGUCGUCAGCUCGUGGUUUGAACUGUUCCCUUAAGUGGGGUAACGAGCGCAACCCCCGUUCGAUGUUAUAUGUGUCAUCGAAGACUGCCCAGCCCAGAGCGCACUUCGGCGCAAUUCUCAAUUUUGCAAUUUACAAUUUUCAACUAUUGGAAAUUAAAAAUUAGAAAUUGAAAAUUAAGCGUAAACGAAGUGGAGCGCGCUGUGGGCUGGGAGGAAGGUGGGGAUGACGCCAAAUCAGCAUGGCCCUUUGAUGUCUUGGGCUACACUCAUGCUACAAUGGUCAGUACAAUGGGUUGCCAAGCCGUAAGGCGGAGCUAAUCCCAUCAAACCUGGCCCCAGUUCGGAUUGAGGGCUGAAACUCGCCCUCAUGAAGUUGGAAUCGCUAGUAAUCGCGUAUCAGCAAUGGCGCGGUGAAUACGUUCUCGAGUCCUGUACUCACUGCCCGUCACGUCAGGGGAGCCGGGAAUGCCAAAAGCAUUACUUAGUGGUGUUAUGGCAGGUUCGGUGACAUGGACGAAGUCGUAACAAGGCACGCGUAGCGGAAGCUGUGCGUGGAACAAUUCAUUA
rnacentral:rRNA from 1 species